rnacentral:lncRNA from 1 species
UACGUUCGCAUUUGUCCUUUUGUUUUGCUUUACAUGGAAGGAAACCUAACAUACAUUCUUUGGUUGUAAUAUAAGAAUCGAAAAAUAUUGAAAGAGAUUAACUGUCAGAAUGGUGAGAGCACAGACACAAACGGCAGCCGGCACACAGAUAACCCGGGUGAGAGUUUUAGAGUAACAGACAUCUUUACAAAGGGUUCAGGGAAAAUUUUAAAAUUAGCCUUUUCGUGUAAGCAAAAGAUAAAACAUCUGGGCAAGUGGGAUAGGCACCAAUACCAACAAGACGCCGCCCGCUCUCACCUCGCGGCUCGGAGAUGCCCUGACCUGGCUGCUUCCGGGUGGAGGUCUGCAGUGCGACCAGAGCGGCUGCACUUAAGUUCGCCAAGUUUUCCACUGGGCGCCUCCCCAACCCGGUUUUCUCAGACUUUUCCCUCCGCCCUGCCCAGGCCCCCGGGCUUUCCAGCUUCCUGCCCCCGCGCCGCCGAGGGCGAGCCCAGAGGAGCCCGUCACCCAGCCCCGCCACACGCGGCCG